CUUCAGGCCGCCGUCUUGGCGUGCCAAUGUGCCCGGCAUGGUGUUCAUGGCGGCCACUACGACGGAAGAUUUUGGCGACGAGGAUAGACGCUUCCGUACGUACUACGAUGCUUUGAAGAUUUCUUACAAACCGUAUUGCUGCCGAGGAAUCCGGAUUGUGCCCUGACGCUACAAGCGUUGGUACCUGGGCCAUAUCCUGCUGGGCAGCGCGUUCGGUCGCCAUUCUGAUAACAUUUUGACGACGACGACGAUGAUCCACGUACAUCGCGCUUACCUGCAUACGUCGACGUCGCCGUCAAGACCGCUACGCCGGAACACAAGAAAGCGUUCCUCCUCAACGCGCUGGGAGUAGAAGGUGCCAGCGUCUACUACAAUAUCAUCGAGGCGCAGACUGAAAGGCAGACUGAGACGAAGACGAAGUGACAGGGGACUCAGGGGCGGUUGACGCUUACGAAGCGGCGUUUCAAGUGCUUGACAAGCACAAUUCUGCAGAUGAAUAAUUUUGCAGGGGCGUCCAUUUCAACCACGGAUUACAAUGUCCGGUUUAGGCGACUACAGAAUUCAUCCAAGACGUUCAACGGCUUCCUCAAUCCUGCAUGUUUGGCACCGCUACCGACCUCAAUGUCCAAGAAAGAUCGUUUGCGGCUUGCAGUCGCAACAACUUCACCGCCAGUUCAUUCAACUAGGCGAGUACUUUACAGUAAAAAAUGCACUGGGAAUUGCGGAGGAAGAGGAACGCACUGAUAAAAUGAUUCAGAAGCUCAGCGUUCUACACGCAAACGCCGUUUCACUGCGUCGUCACCCACAAGAUGGCGGCCGCGACCAGUCUCGCUUCCUCGGGACCUCCUAGGUGGCGGUUACCUUCCCGGACCGUCUGCAGUUGAAGAUGGCGGUCAUCACCGCCCCGUUCCAGUCAAAGUUGACGGUUAUCCUCAUCGCGGCCAUCGGACCGACAUCCCCGCCCUUCACCGCGCCGCAGUGGCGGACGCCGAGAGCGAGGAAGUGGGCCACCCCUUCCGGGAUGGAGGCAACCGGGCGCCUGCUCUGCCUCCGCGCCGUCAGCUGUUUCUGUUGCGGCUCUUCGCAGCCCGUCCCGAAUUUGUCGUGCCCGCCCCGAAUUCUGCCAGACAUGUGGAAGGAAAGGACAUUUCUUCCAAAUGUGCUGUUCAUCGCAAAGUACAUCGGCACCAGUCAACGAGCUUGAAAUGCAAGAGAAUACGACUAUAAGGACAGCCACUAUUCUACACAUUGACGCUGUCGGCGCCUUGUCGCUUAUGCGCGUUCCCGUAAAAGUGAACAACCUGACGUAGCAGUUGAUGGAUGACACCGGAGUGGUUCUGUCGCUCAUGAGUCUUCAGGACUAGAACAAGCACUUUUCACUUAUCCGCCUGCUUCAAUCCCAUUUAAUCAUCCAGAACUACUUGGAGAGAGUAGUGUACAAUUUGGGUUUUUUUUUCACGGCCAUCGAGUAUCAAGAUAUGUCAGCUACCGUCGAUUGUCACUUGACAACUGGGUUCAUAACUUCUGGGACUCGGCGCUAUUAAGGCAUUGACGGUAGUGAUCGAUUGAGCGACUUUGUCGUGUCUCCAAGCCUCAUAUUCACCACCGGAUUUCGACAGUGGUUCCCGCUGGACGGAAUAUCAUCCGGCUUCCAUGAACUUGUACGAUGCAGCAGACUUUGACAGUGCACGGCAGGCCAAUGCCUGUUCGAUUUCACCACCAGCAAGAGAGAACCAGUGUAGAGUGCUGGGACAGUCUACCCCAGUCAAAGCGUCGCGACGGCAAGCUCCACGGAGAACCCAGGUGGACAGUACAUCACCGGUGCGCAAGUGGUGCAAGUUGCGGCGGCAGCCUUGCCGGAGGAAGACGACGAGGAACAGAUCAGGCAAGUCAAUGAAUACUGCUCAUGCUGCUCUUCCUCUACCCGCCAUGCCAAGUCUUCAAAGUCGACUCUAUGUAGCCCAGGCUUAAGGACAAAGAACUGUAACAAAUGGACUGCGUGGAGUGGACCUUAAGCACUACAGUAAACCUGUCUGUUGUCUGCAGCAUUCCACUGACAAUUAUGAAAUUCCAGUUUGGGUUAACUGUUAAACCGGAGACUCCAACCUUCAUUAUGUAGUAAUUGGCAUUUUAUUACUAGCUAAAGGUGAACAGAAUUUCAAAACAGCACAUUUAAACAGAUUUGACCGCUCAUUUUGUUGUAGCUUUAAGGCGAAAUAGACAACACGGUAGUACUUUUAGCUUUUCUUAACUUAACGGCCUGAAGUUUCUGAUCUACCAGAGCACAACACAGAGGCACAACAGCUGCGGCAUAUAAGGGCCUGAAAGACUCAAGAUGUGUGAACCAAACUAUGAAUGCAGCAACAAGUGCUUCUAACUUUAACUGCACCAUGCUUACUAGCAUCAAUAAACUAUCCUGUUGGUCUCAAUUAGGGUGAACGCACUAUGAUUUCACACUCGCCUCUGCCGAAUAUGGAGUAACUGCCUGCGUUCUCCUUAAUAUUUGCCGCAGAAUAUUCAGACAGUGCUAAUUAUUAUCCAUACCUGUUGGAACCAAGCGUAUUUUGACAUAAAGUAUGGUGGUGACGUCGAAAUAAUUUCUACUCUGAAUUUUUGAACUGUGACAACGUGCUUGUGUUACAAGUUGCUCUUGCCGCGGCACCUUUGCCAGUCUUGGGUGUUCAAUAUGUGAUUCACGAUCAGAAAUUGUUUGUUGCUGCUGAGCCAGAGUCGCCUCUUCUUUAAGCUUCUCAAGCAAGCUUGUUGCAUGGAAGGGCAUUAAAGAGAAAAAUUAUCUAACUUGCAUUAGAAAAAUUGUCGUUGCAUGCAUCCUUUAGAAAUGAUUGGCGUUUUAGCUAUUAGCAUUAAAAUUGCCAAAUCACUUAUGGUUGGUGGGUGAUUCUUGAUAUUUCAAUGCAUUCACAUUCUUACACUAUUUCAUGCACUCUCCAGGGGCUAGCUCUGUAUUUAUUUAUCGAUAUAUAUUUGUA